GAUGAACGCUGGCGGCGUGCCUAAUACAUGCAAGUCGAGCGAACGGACGAGAAUCUUGCUUCUCUGAUGUUAGCGGCGGACGGGUGAGUAACACGUGGAUAACCUACCUAUAAGACUGGGAUAACUUCGGGAAACCGUAGCUAAUACCGGAUAAUAUUUUGAACCGCAUGGUUCAAAAGUGAAAGACGGUCUUGCUGUCACUUAUAGAUGGAUCCGCGCUGCAUUAGCUAGUUGGUAAGGUAACGGCUUACCAAGGCAACGAUGCAUAGCCGACCUGAGAGGGUGAUCGGCCACACUGGAACUGAGACACGGUCCAGACUCCUACGGGAGGCAGCAGUAGGGAAUCUUCCGCAAUGGGCGAAAGCCUGACGGAGCAACGCCGCGUGAGUGAUGAAGGUCUUCGGAUCGUAAAACUCUGUUAUUAGGGAAGAACAUAUGUGUAAGUAACUGUGCACAUCUUGACGGUACCUAAUCAGAAAGCCACGGCUAACUACGU
rnacentral:rRNA from 1 species